GUCCCAACCUAUAAAUACAGUCACUCAGCCGCUUAUACCUCCACACGCCAAUGUUACUCCAGCCACCUCAUUUAGUGCAAUUGGCGAUGACAAUGUCGAUGAAGAUGAUCGCAUAUGGAUUGUACCUGAAGCAGAUGGGUUUGAUCCUCACAAGGUAGUCAUUGAAGGUAUUGCUAAUUGCAUUCGCAGUAAAUUUGAGCUGGUUAGACCCUCUUAGAAGAAGUUCCCAGAAUCUACUCAGCAUAUGUGGUUUGAAGAAUUCAAGAAGAAAUUUAGAUGGCUCCCUCACUACAAUGAUGUUAUACAUCAGAAUUUUAACAAAAGGGCAGCUGCAAGGAUGACCCAUCUUUUUCAAGAUGUUAGAAAAGAUUUGACUGUGAAGCCAAAUUGGAUAGGGGAUGCAGUAUUUAAGGGGAUGAAGGAGUAUUGGGAAUCUCCUGAAUUUAAGUCAAAGUCAAAACAAAACAAAAAGAAUCGAGAUGCAAAUGCAGGUGCCUCACUUCAUACAGGUGGUUGUAUACCUCAUCGUGUGAUUUGGAAGAGGGUGGUAAUAAAUAAAUUCUAUUUAAUGUUCUCUAGUAAAUACUAUCAUAUAAAUGUUAAUAACAUGCAUAUCUUCCUUUGAUUACAGAAGCAAACUACUGAAAAAGAACCUUCAGUUUCGGAUUUUUAUUUUCGCACUCAUCGCAAGGAAAAAGAUAAAAGUUGGGUAAAUGAGAAAGCUGAAGCUGCUUUUGUAAGAGCCCGUUUGGAUUGGCUUAUAAGUUGGCUUAUAAGCUGUUUUCAGUUUUUUUGAGUGUUUGGCUGGCCAGCUUAAAGUCAUUUUAUGCUUAAAAUAAGCUCAAAAAAAUAAUUGGACCCAUUUGACUUAGUUUAUCUAAAGCAGCUUAUAAGCUGAAAACAGCUUAUAAGCCAAAAAAAAUAAGUUGGACUACCCCAACUUAUUUUUUUCAGCUUAUAAGCUGCAAACAGCUUUAAGCUGUAAGCCAAUCCAAACGGGCUCUA